AUUACUUCUGGGAUGUCAGUGUCCCAAAUGGCAAUGAGAUUUCUCAUCACAUCAUUUGAAGUUAAUUUUCAAAGAGACCCGACCUGCUGACGGUUGUGGGAGGCAUAUCAAACUCCCGGAAAGGUAACACCUUAGCUUCAAUGUGCAUGCUGUCAGGUUGUUAACCGUUUGUUUCUUUGUCAUUUAGGGGAAAUGGGUAAAAACUCAGCUUCUGGUCUUUAUUUUUUUUGUUCCUGGCGAUUUGUAGAGUAAAUCGCUGUCCUG
rnacentral:lncRNA from 1 species